GAUGAACGCUGGCGGCGUGCCUAAUACAUGCAAGUCGAGCGAACGGACGAGAAGCUUGCUUUUCUGAUGUUAGCGGCGGACGGGCGAGUAACACGUGGAUAACCUACCUAUAAGACUGGGAUAACUUCGGGAAACCGGAGCUAAUACCGGAUAAUAUUUUGAACCGCAUGGUUCAAAAGUGAAAGACGGUCUCGCUGUCACUUAUAGAUGGAUCCGCGCUGCAUUAGCUAGUUGGUAAGGUAACGGCUUACCAAGGCAACGAUGCAUAGCCGACCUGAGAGGGUGAUCGGCCACACUGGAACUGAGACACGGUCCAGACUCCUACGGGAGGCAGCAGUAGGGAAUCUUCCGCAAUGGGCGAAAGCCUGACGGAGCAACGCCGCGUGAGUGAUGAAGGUCUUCGGAUCGUAAAACUCUGUUAUUAGGGAAGAACAUAUGUGUAAGUAACUGUGCACAUCUUGACGGUACCUAAUCAGAAAGCCACGGCUAACUACGUG
rnacentral:rRNA from 1 species